rnacentral:rRNA from 1 species
AUACGUAGGUGGCAAGCGUUGUCCGGAUUUACUGGGUGUAAAGGGCGUGUAGGCGGAGAUGCAAGUCAGGAGUGAAAUCUAGGGGCUCAACCCCUAAACUGCUUUUGAAACUGUAUCCCUUGAGUAUCGGAGAGGCAGGCCGGAUUCCUAGUGUCGCGGUGGGAUGCGUAGAUAUUAGGAGGAACACCAGUGGCGAAGGCGGCCUGCUGGACGACAACUGACGCUGAGGCGCGAAAGUGUGGGGAGCAAACAGGAUUAGAUACCCUGGUAGUCCACGCUGUAAACGAUGAAUACUAGGUGUGGGGGGACUGACCCCCUCCGUGCCGCAGUUAACACAAUAAGUAUUCCACCUGGGGAGUACGAUCGCAAGAUUGAAACUCAAAGGAAUUGACAGGG